rnacentral:rRNA from 1 species
AGCUCCAAUAGUGUAUAUUAAUACUGCUGCGGUUAAAAAGCUCGUAGUUGGAUCUCGGCGGGCUGGGGGCGGUUCGUUCUUCGACGCUACUGCCCCUCUGCGCCCGCGAAACGUUCGGUGGAGGUCUCUCUCCCCGGGUGCUCUUGAUCGAGUGUCCGGGGGGCGCCACCAGGUUUACUUUGAAAAAAUUAGAGUGCUCAGGGCAGGCUUGACACGCUUGGAUAGCCGUGCAUGGAAUGAUGGAAUAGGACGUCGUUUCUAUUUUGUUGGUUUUCGGAAAUCGACGUAAUGAUAAAUAGGGACAGUCGGGGGCAUUAGUAUUCAGGCGACAGAGGUGAAAUUCUUGGACCGCCUGAAGACUGACGACUGCGAAAGCAUUUGCCAAGAAUGUUUUCA